UCCGGCUUAUCACCGGCAGUUUCUUUAGAGUGCUCAACUAAAUGGUAGCAACUAAAGAUGAGGGUUGCGCUCGUUGCGGGACUUAACCCAACAUCUCACGACACGAGCUGACGACAGCCAUGCAACACCUGUGUGUUAGCCAGCCGAACUGAAGAACUCCGUUUCUGGAGUCCAUACUAACCAUGUCAAGGCCUGGUAAGGUUCUUCGCGUUGCCUCGAAUUAAACCACAUGCUCCACCGCUUGUGCGGGUCCCCGUCAAUUUCUUUGAGUUUUAAUCUUGCGACCGUACUCCCCAGGCGGAAUGCUUAAUGCGUUAGCGGCGCCACUGACCCUAACGGGCCAACAGCUAGCAUUCAUCGUUUACAGCGUGGACUAC
rnacentral:misc_RNA from 1 species